GAGGAAUGUGAAACCAAUUUAUAUUGUGCUAGAAGCGUAUGUCAGUGUGCUUCUUCCGAUUACUGGACAGGAUCAACGUGUUCCAUAAAAAAAGAAGAGAAUGCCCUCUGUAAUUCAUCACUUGAAUGUAAAGCAACGCUCCAGUGCAGAACAAAUCACUGUGUUUGCUGUCAACAGGACUUCUGGAAUGGACAGCUGUGUGAGAG